UACGUAGGGUGCAAGCGUUGUCCGGAAUUAUUGGGCGUAAAGAGCUCGUAGGCGGUCUGUCGCGUCUGCUGUGAAAACUCGGGGCUUAACCCCGGGCCUGCAGUGGGUACGGGCAGACUAGAGUUCGGUAGGGGAGACUGGAAUUCCUGGUGUAGCGGUGAAAUGCGCAGAUAUCAGGAGGAACACCGGUGGCGAAGGCGGGUCUCUGGGCCGAUACUGACGCUGAGGAGCGAAAGCGUGGGGAGCAAACAGG
rnacentral:rRNA from 1 species